UUCAUGGCUCUUGAGGGCUCCACAGCUC
rnacentral:piRNA from 1 species